rnacentral:rRNA from 1 species
UGGGGAAUAUUGGGCAAUGGGGGGAACCCUGACCCAGCAACGCCGCGUGAAGGAAGAAGGUUUUCGGAUUGUAAACUUCUGUCCUUGGUGAAGAGGAAGAGACGGUAGCCAAGGAGGAAGCCCCGGCUAACUACGUGCCAGCAGCCGCGGUAAUACGUAGGGCGCAAGCGUUGUCCGGAAUUAUUGGGCGUAAAGAGCUCGUAGGCGGUUUGUCGCGUCUGCUGUGAAAACCCGAGGCUCAACCUCGGGCUUGCAGUGGGUACGGGCAGACUAGAGUGCGGUAGGGGAGACUGGAAUUCCUGGUGUAGCGGUGGAAUGCGCAGAUAUCAGGAGGAACACCGAUGGCGAAGGCAGGUCUCUGGGCCGCAACUGACGCUGAGGCGCGAAAGCGUGGGGAGCAAACAGG